rnacentral:tRNA from 1 species
GCGCUCGUAGCUCAGCUGGAUAGAGUAGUGGUUUGCGGUACCAUUGGUCGGGAGUUCGAAUCUCUUCGAGUGCG